rnacentral:rRNA from 1 species
CCUACGGGAGGCAGCAGUAGGGAAUAUUGCACAAUGGGCGAAAGCCUGAUGCAGCAACGCCGCGUGCACGAUGAAGGUCUUCGGAUCGUAAAGUGCUUUUCUGGGAGAUGAGAAAGGACAGUAUCCCAGGAAUAAGUCUCGGCUAACUACGUGCCAGCAGCCGCGGUAAAACGUAGGAGGCAAGCGUUAUCCGGAUUCACUGGGCGUAAAGCGCGUGCAGGCGGCUCGGUAAGUUGGGCGUGAAAUCUCCUGGCUUAACUAGGAGAGGCCGUUCAAUACUACCGGGCUAGAGAGCAGUAGAGGAAGAUGGAAUUCCCGGUGUAGUGGUGAAAUGCGUAGAUAUCGGGAGGAACACCAGUGGCGAAGGCGAUCUUCUGGACUGUUUCUGACGCUCAGACGCGAAAGCUAGGGUAGUAAACGGGAUUAGAGACCCCGGUAAUCCUAGCCGUAAACGAUGUGAACUUGGCGUCGGUAGCUUAAACACUAUCGGUGCCGUAGCAAACGCGAUAAGUUCACCGCCUGGGGACUACGAUUGCAAGAUUAAAACUUAAAGGAAUUGACGG